UGCAGGAGAAGUGCAGCAGUUCCAGGACAAGUGCAGCAGUGCAGGAUGAGUGCAGCAGUGCAGGACAAGUGCAGCAGUUCCAGCACGAGUGCAGCAGUUCCAGCACGAGUGCAGCAGUGCAGGACAAGUGCAGCACUGAGGACAGCACAGUGCAGGCUCCAGACAAGCUGUGGCUGAGCUCUCAGGGACUUUAUGCAUGAAUACAACCAGGAGUAGAAACUUGAUGGUCCUAUAAAUCAGCACGAGCACCGUUACUCCUCAGCAGCACCUGGGGUUUGAAAGCCUCGUGAGCCGCGGUGGCUCCGCUCUGCACUGGAGCCUGGCA